CCUGUAAUGAGGAGAGAGUGGAAUGGGAACCAAUAGUCAAGACCAGCCAGACGAGCAGAAGCAUGAUGGACUGGAUGGCAUUGCCAAAAGACCUUCAGGAAUCCAGAGAUUGUGGGAGAUUGCUCAUGUGCUUUUUCUUUCAGGGCCAGCAAAUUCCCUUAGAGAUUACUGGGCAUCUCUUUAGAAACCACCCUCCUUAAUUCUUCUAUGACACCAGGAGGAAGCCGGCAAUUCAGACUUGGACUUCUCUGAGCCGCAUUCUUUUCUGGCCAACUUGGACGCCUUACAUCGAAGCUGAUGUGGCUCAGCACCAAGAUCAGGCUGGAGGGUACUUGUUAACUGGCAGUGCCACAGAGGUCUCCUCUCUUCCUUGCCUAUAUAAAGUCACUUCUUUUCUGGGCGGUGGUUAAUUCAUUGAAUAUCAAAUGAAGACUUAUGACAAUUGGGGGGAGUGCUAAAUAUAAAUAUGCACUAUCUAAGGUGCAUUCCAAGACACCUCUAACCUUUAGUUUCAUAGAUACCUCUGGUUCGUGUAUUGCUUUAUUAGUGCGGGUUUUAUCCAGAAGGUGGCAUCACAGAACCUGAGGUUCACUCACCAAAGGUCAAAACAAUCCCCAUUUCUUUGUGAUGAGAAACUAAACUAUGUAGCCUUUAUGCAGCAUGUUGACAUUUCAAACAUAUUUCUUUAUCCUUGUAAUUGGUUAAAUAAUUUUAGACCCAUGGAUGAUGGGGGUCAUUAUGGUUGUCUAUCCAGUGAUAACCUGAUUUCUGAGAUACUUAGAAAAACCCAUACUCAAGCCCAUGUUCCUUCAUCAGGUGACACGACGGAGACCAAGAUGGGCUUAGUUCCUAGUCAAAAACACAUGUGAAACUUGACAAUAACUGUGAUGCCUUCUUCCCAUUCCACACUCACUUGUUGUUCCCACUGACCAUCAAAGUCAACUUAGGUCACUUCGUUGGGGGAGGGGUGGGGAAGACCUAAGUGAAUGGUUUAAUGGGUAGAUCUGCUGAGUAUUGGCACUUAAAAAUAAGUCACGGGGGUGAGGAUUCCAAAAAGGUGACUCUAAUUGGUGGCAUUCUCAAAAUCAGAACUCUCAGGGAAAGAGAAGGUGACCCUCCUUAGAAUUUUAGGUGAGAGCUGGUUCAGUGGUUCUUUCCCAGAGUUCAUACCUAGGACAGCCAUGUCACUGAGCCUCAUGAGGCAUGUAGUCAUGAAUGUCUACUCGCUGGUGGGAAUGUUAAUGUGCUUUAAAUUCUUUGUGUGAAGUAUCCCUCGCCAACUCCUGUUUGCCUUAUGUAUUUUUUCAUUCAUCUUAUUCAUGUGGGUGAUGGAAAGAAAAUGGACAUUAUUGGACCCUUUAAGGCAAGGGCCUUGAGAUGGAGUGUUAUACUUGUUCCCUGUUAUAUGCAGACAUUUCUGUCGCUGAAUAAUGUUCCAUUGUAUAUAUGUACCACAUUUUCUUCAGCCAUUCAACUCUUGAUGAACACAGGUUGUUUCCUUAUCUUGGUUGUUGUGAAUAAUGCCGCAAUUAACAUUAGGGUUCAGAUAUCUCUUUGAGAUAGUGAUUUCAUGUCCUUUGGAUAUAGACUCAGAAGUGGGAUUGCUGGAUCAUAUGGUAGUUCUAUUUUUAAUUUUUAGAGGAACUUCCGUACUGUUUUCCAUAGUAGUUGUACCAAUUUACAUGGGAGAAUACAUCUUGAACUAAAGAGGUUUCAUGACUGCUUCUGCAGCCACUUCUGAUUGUCGGUUCUCUUGAGGAGAAGGAUUAUAGAGUUAGAGGCUCAAAAAGGGAAGGCGUGUCACUGAUCAGGAAAGAUGGAAGGACUAACUCCUUCCUUCAGAUGCUUCAAGCCUAGAGGUGGGGAGAGGGCUGGGACGAGUGGCCCUCUGUAGAGCUGCUGUCAGAGCCUGAGGCAAAGCAGACAGGAGGAUAAGGGCCCUCAGUGUGAAAGGUGUACUGGCCUUUGUGUGUUCCAGAGUGUCUCCUGCCCACUUCCCCAUCCCUGGCACUACCUGGGAUCAGCCUAGCUGGAGGACAGACGAUAACAGUGCACACUGUUGAGUGUGACAUGAGAACAUGUGGCCCUCUGGCCAAGGUGAAAUUUUUAUGAUGGGGGCUGCUGCUUGUUUCUCCAGCUUCCUUGAGGAUUUUGCACUUAGCUGCUGGGGAAUGCAUUUGGGGUGUGGAAAUUUGGGGUCCCUGGGAAAUAAUAGGCCAUGGCCUGUUGUCAGUUUCUGUGCUCUGACGUGAAGGUGCUGAACAGAAUGUUGUCCACCAUGCAGAGCAAUUGCCUGUUAGGAAUCAUUAGGGAUCCCGGUUCUUUGUACGGGAAUUUGGUUGGAGUUCUAUCCAAGCGUUUCCAUAUUAGCUGUCUGCACUCUUCUGCUGAGCAUACUCUGCCCAUGGGUGGGAAGAGAAAAGUCACUGGGUCCUGUCAAUGAAUGAUACAUGAAGCUGGGGACAUUUGGAUCGUCAUGGGCACGUGCAGAUGAGCCUGGACCUCCAGGAAUGUCCCAGGUGAGCUG